rfam:Schistosoma curassoni strain Dakar, Senegal genome assembly, scaffold: SCTD_scaffold0008397
GCCCUGCUGACGAGUGCCAAAUAGAACGAAACCUAGGUCCAGGGU